rnacentral:misc_RNA from 1 species
AAGUAAACCAUAGCCUGUCUACAAAUAGUUUACCUACCGACUGUGGGUCGGGUCUUUACAGAAACAAAAUGCUGGUUGUCAUAAUAACUUAUGUCUAUAAUAACAUACAAAACGUUUCUUAAAAUUAGUAAUCAUUACAUAAAUACGAUUGUAACGCCAAUAACAGUGAAUAAACAUACUUUUAUAUUCUGACAACACAUUCUUAACAUUUAAAGAAAACUAUUCACAACUGUUCAUAUGUCUGCUGUUUUUGACAAAUAAGUUUGAUGGCCGAUAUCUACCGGUGGAAUGUUUCAUCCAGAGAGCAUUUAGUUUCUUUUGUUUUCUCACAAGUAAAUACAGUAACACCAAUGACAAAAAAAUCCAGGGACAAGCUUAUAUUGCCUACUAUCUUUUGAAUACGGAAAACAUUUACAAGAUUCCUUCUUGAGUAAGUCAGCCAUCAGUACGUAUUACAUUAAAGGCAUUCAGUGUUACGUCUUCUGUUAUAUAUUUUAACAGUGCAUGUUAUGUUUAGUGUUAUGCUAGGGACAGGUAACACCAAUGACAUUUUACACUAAUCUCGAAUAAAAUCUCUAUCACGGCUGAUUACUAGAGGUAUCGUUAAAGACAACAAAUUUAGUUUUCUAUAUAUAAAUAAAAAAAAGAAUCUUGAAUUCUAGUAGGCAACAUUUAAACUGUAUUUUAAUAGUAAAUACGAUAUCGGUUUUUUUGUAACCUAGGGGAGAUUCUUGUUGAAAAAUGGGCUUAAAUUCGGUAAACAUUUCAGUUUUUAAGCCCAUGGGCUUCAUUUCAUGUAGGAUUAAACACGGGAAAGCCCGAUAUUUCUUUACUUUAUUAUUUAUUUAUUUAUUUAUUCUUUUCUUUUUUUUUUACUUUAUGGAGGUCAAAGUUCAAACGACAAACAAUAAUUGCGUGACGUCAUCUACAUAUAAGGGCGGUUUUACAACAGCUUGUUCUGAAUGUGUACGUAAACCCUAUGACCUGACCUAAAUGGAAAGAGCUAGAGCGCUCGCUCGAGAUGCAAUGGGUUGUGCGGUGUGGAAUGACACGGGCUGCCAGGCAAUGUCCCACGACACCAAAGUCAUAGCGGCGUUUCUCUUAGUGCAGGGGAUACAUUUGUCCGAGAUGCGAUGGGUCGUGUUGUGUGGAUGGACACGUGCUUACCCCAAUCCCGGGAAUAUCCGACGACACCAAAGCCACGGUCAGCGUCUCACUUACUGGAGAGAGAACGCUCGUCCGAGAUGCGAUGGGUUGUCGAUGUGGAUGGACAUGGGAUUCGGGGAAAGGGAUGCCCCACGACACCAAAGCCAUGGUACGUAAAUAGUGCGGUCAUAAUAGUAAUAAUCAGAGAUAGAAAGAUUGAUAAAUAAAUAGAUAGAUAGAUAGAGAGAAAGAGGGGAGAGAGAAAUACAUGCACAUGGAUUAAAUUGAUCACCAUUUGUUUAUAAUUCCAAACUCUAAAUAGCUAUUAAUCGGUACCAUUCCUAAAUUUCUAUGAAACACCGGUCUGCUUGACCAAUGAAAUUGGAGUUACAUCUGUACGCAGUGUGCCAUUUCGCCAAACACAAGUUGCAAGAUAUAUGUUUUAUGUAUGGCAGUUAUUUAAUGCCCACCUUUAAUGGGAAUUUUGUUUAAUGAGUUAAUUUUUCAAUGUUGUGUAUCAAGAUAAUAUUGUUUAAAAAUAAACGGCCAUUUUUCAAUUCAAUGUGUGUAAUGUUCUUAUUUAGAGAAAACAGGGGCGUAGGCUAGGAGGGGUUCGGGAGAUUCGGACGAACCCCCUGCUGAAGCAAAUGGUCCGCUUUCAGAACUAAAACAUACAGGUUUAUACAUAUGGAGUUUCUGGUGGUGCAAAAACAAAAUAGAAAAAGGUCCACUUGGUUCAUAUUCGAACCCUCCCAGGUCCAGAUCAUGCAAGCCCCUGGAAAAUUCCCACCGAAACGAGCUCACCGGGUUGGCUGGAAUGACCUUUGUACUGCUACAAUUAUACAAUUGUGUGACGCUAUCAGUCUGAUAUUUUUAUUAUAAGGU